AGUGAACGCUGGCGGUAGGCCUAACACAUGCAAGUCGAACGGCAGCACAGUAAGAGCUUGCUCUUACGGGUGGCGAGUGGCGGACGGGUGAGGAAUACAUCGGAAUCUACUUUUUCGUGGGGGAUAACGUAGGGAAACUUACGCUAAUACCGCAUACGACCUACGGGUGAAAGCAGGGGAUCUUCGGACCUUGCGCGAUUGAAUGAGCCGAUGUCGGAUUAGCUAGUUGGCGGGGUAAAGGCCCACCAAGGCGACGAUCCGUAGCUGGUCUGAGAGGAUGAACAGCCACACUGGAACUGAGACACGGUCCAGACUCCUACGGGAGGCAGCAGUGGGGAAUAUUGGACAAUGGGCGCAAGCCUGAUCCAGCCAUACCGCGUGGGUGAAGAGGGCCUUCGGGUUGUAAAGCCCUUUUGUUGGGAAAGAAAAGCAGCAGGUUAAUACCCCGCUGUUCUGACGGUACCCAAAGAAUAAGCACCGGCUAACUUCGUG
rnacentral:rRNA from 1 species